rnacentral:sRNA from 1 species
AGACUAUUUUUAGUUUGGCAUGGCUUAAGCUAAAAAUUAAAUUGCAAUUCCAGUUGCUUGGUAAAUGAAGGCCGAUGCCGACGAAAGUGAGCAGAAAGUUUCGGAAGAAACUAUAAACUUGAUUUAGAUUGCAAAACAUUAUUUUGAUUUGUCACCAAUAGAAGAACAACAGCCCCACCUCAUGGUUAGAAAUACGAAAAGCAACCAAAAGCAGGCAUGAAAAAGAUUAUGAAUUCUCUGAAUGUUUGCAGCCACUUACGUUAUGUGACAGUCACAACACCAUGGUUAUGUUAUGACAAUUCAACCUGGCCUAACAUUUGCCUGUAUUACGACUUCGAGAGUAAUAUAAUGCCAUCCAUAAAAUAAAUCGCAUUUUGCUGUUGGCUUAAAAAGAUGAUUUCUUGGUGCCACAUCUAAUCGCUGGCCAUAUAUAACAAAUAUGGGUCCUGUACAAAGUGCAAUAAAAUAAAGCAUAAUUCUUAUACUAAAGCUA